rnacentral:rRNA from 1 species
AACGAACGCUGGCGGCAUGCCUAACACAUGCAAGUCGAACGAGAUCUUCGGGUCUAGUGGCGCACGGGUGCGUAACGCGUGGGAAACUGCCCUUUGGUUCGGAAUAACAGUUGGAAACGACUGCUAAUACCGGAUGAUUACGAAAGUCCAAAGAUUUAUCGCCAGAGGAUGAGCCCGCGUAGGAUUAGCUAGUUGGUGUGGUAAAGGCGCACCAAGGCGACGAUCCUUAGCUGGUCUGAGAGGAUGAUCAGCCACACUGGGACUGAGACACGGCCUAGGCUCCUACGGGAGGCAGCAGUGGGGAAUAUUGGACAAUGGGCGAAAGCCUGAUCCAGCAAUGCCGCGUGAGUGAUGAAGGCCUUAGGGUUGUAAAGCUCUUUUACCCGGGAUGAUAAUGACAGUACCGGGAGAAGAAGCUCCGGCUACUCCGUGCCAGCCGCCGCGGUAA